rnacentral:siRNA from 1 species
GUGGUGAAUUUGAAUAAUCAGUAU